GGUCAGCGGCGGAGCUGGCAAGGAGCUUCCCUCGCCCACAGGUCACUGAGCAAAGUUGUUUUGUGUCCAUGCAUCGCAGCUCCCAUCCUGGGACAUAAUAAGGGGAGGAUUUGUAGGCAUUCCCAGGAAGGUACAAGCCGCCAGCUGUUAUUUAUCGGCUUGUGAAAGGAAAAACUCCACAUGGCCAUGUUUUAAAAUCCACCUCUUUAUGAACAGAUUGUGAUUUCACAUGCUGAAUAUGUUUUAUACAUGUCGUGCUUUUAGAGAUGUUGAGUGGACCUGAAGCACAGGUGAAAUGCUGAGGUGAUGUACAACAGCUCAGACUCGAUUUACAUGGCUGCAGCUCCAUGUAGUGAGGGUUGGACGUCUUGACGUGGUUGAUUUUUGAGGGAUUUUUCUGUACUGAUGCUAGUUUAAUUGAACUUAAGAUAAUGGUUGCUGGGGGCUGAGAGUGGAAGAGGCUAUUCUUUCAAUAAUUAUCAGAUCUCAUGUCAAGGAAACUGCUUUGUGUGAAAAGGAACAAGGCAGAACUAGGCUAUUACAGACUUGUGCACUCUACUAUCUAUUUUGGGCCAAGAUCCAAAAGCAUUUCAUGGUUUAAAACAGUGUCCAGAGAUUUCAGCUGGGAUAGAAGCCCAUUUCUCUGCAUUGAACAAGCAUAGAAGAAAUGUUCUGACACCAAAGACUUUGCAGUCUUGCUGAAACGACAGAAUGGGGAUGGGAUGGAAGGAUGAAAGCAACUGGAACUGAAGCAGAGCUUAUACAGACGUACAAGGGCCUCUCUGAAAAUGUCUCCUAAUCUAUUGUGUUGACCCACAAUGUCAGAGGUGGAUAUUGGUGGUAUGGCAUUAGAGAAUGAACCUUCCUAACAGCAUUCCAUUACAUUUUGUUGCUGUGUGACAGCUGGCAGCAGAGGAUCAGUCUGACAAAAUGGCAUCUGACAUGGAAGCAUGUAUGAAGCAAAGGUAUCUCACUGAAUUCCUCCAUGUGAAAAAAAAUUGCAUCCCUUGACAUUCAUCGACUCUUGCUGAAUGUUUAUGAAGACCAAACAGUGGCUGUGAGCACAGUGAAGUGAUGGGUGGUGCAUUUCAGCAGCAGUGACAGUGACAGUGGAUCACCUCUGCUGGUGCAGAUUUUUAGGAGAGUGGCAUGCAGGCUCUUGUUCAUCACUCGUGAAAAUUCAUAGCUAAUGGUAGCGACUAUGUUGGAAAACAGUGUUUUGUACCUGAGAAUUUGCUUUAUCAAAUAGUGUUAUUGUGCUCUUUGUAUCUGUUUUUGUUUCUAUGGAAAUAAAUAGGAGGUGUUACUUUCGCAGCAACCUGUAUUUCACAUAACCCAAAUUCAAUGAUUUUCAGACUCAUCUUUUGGUUAAAUGUGAGACUUGCGCAAGAAAUUAUGUAGUCUCCAGUGCCCUAACUUAACUUAAAAGGAAAGUAUAAUAAGAAUAUUUGAGCGAAAACUGUCCGGGGAGUGCUAACUUCUGUUAAAUAGUAAGUUGUACUUACUAGAAGUAGCAGGAGUUAUUACUACCAGGAGACAGCAGUAAGAGAAAUGGACUAUGGCAAGUAUAUCAAACAGACAAUAGAAUAACAAUUAAAAAACCUGAAACAUAAGG
ensembl:lncRNA